rnacentral:rRNA from 1 species
CGCGGCCUAUCAGCUUGUUGGUGAGGUAACGGCUCACCAAGGCGACGACGGGUAGCCGGCCUGAGAGGGCGACCGGCCACACUGGGACUGAGACACGGCCCAGACUCCUACGGGAGGCAGCAGUGGGGAAUAUUGCACAAUGGGCGGAAGCCUGAUGCAGCGACGCCGCGUGAGGGAUGACGGCCUUCGGGUUGUAAACCUCUUUCAGCAGGGAAGAAGCGCAAGUGACGGUACCUGCAGAAGAAGCGCCGGCUAACUACGUGCCAGCAGCCGCGGUAAUACGUAGGGCGCAAGCGUUGUCCGGAAUUAUUGGGCGUAAAGAGCUCGUAGGCGGCUUGUCGCGUCGGAUGCGAAAGCCCGGGGCUUAACCCCGGGUCUGCAUUCGAUACGGGCAGGCUAGAGUUCGGUAGGGGAGAUCGGAAUUCCUGGUGUAGCGGUGAAAUGCGCAGAUAUCAGGAGGAACACCGGUGGCGAAGGCGGAUCUCUGGGCCGAUACUGACGCUGAGGAGCGAAAGCGUGGGGAGCGAACAGGAUUAGAUACCCUGGUAGUCCACGCCGUAAACGGUGGGAACUAGGUGUUGGCGACAUUCCACGUCGUCGGUGCCGCAGCUAACGCAUUAAGUUCCCCGCCUGGGGAGUACGG